AUGAUAAUUGGAACUUUGAAUAUUAGGGGGGGUGGUAGUGCUCUUAAAAUAAGUAGUAUUAGUUCGAUGAUUAAAAAAGGUGGAGCGGAUAUGUUCUUGAUUCAAGAGGUUAAGUUGGCAAGUAUGUAUGAAGUUUGUGCUAAAAGUAUGUGGAGCAACAAUGAUAUUGGAUACUUGUUUUCUAAUUCAAUUGGGUUGUCCGGGGGAUUUCUCUCAUGUGGAAGGAAGAGGUGGUGGAGGUUAUCCAUAGUUUUAAAGGGGAAGGUUAGUUGGGCAUAA